GACGAACGCUGGCGGCGUGCUUAACACAUGCAAGUCGAACGGAAAGGCCCUGCUUUUGUGGGGUGCUCGAGUGGCGAACGGGUGAGUAACACGUGAGUAACCUGCCCUUGACUUUGGGAUAACUUCAGGAAACUGGGGCUAAUACCGGAUAGGAGCUCCUGCUGCAUGGUGGGGGUUGGAAAGUUUCGGCGGUUGGGGAUGGACUCGCGGCUUAUCAGCUUGUUGGUGGGGUAGUGGCUUACCAAGGCUUUGACGGGUAGCCGGCAUGAGAGGGUGACCGGCGACAUGGGGACUGAGAGACGGACCAGACGCCUACGGGAGGCAACAGUGGGGAAUAUUGCACAGUGGGCGGAAGCCUGAUGCAGCAACGCCGCGUGCGGGAUGACGGCCUUCGGGUUGUAAACCGCAGUCGCCUGUGACGAAGCGUGAGUGACGGUAAUGGGUAAAGAAGCACCGGCUAACUACGUG
rnacentral:rRNA from 1 species